GGUUAAGCGACUAAGCGUACACGGUGGAUGCCCUGGCAGUCAGAGGCGAUGAAGGACGUGCUAAUCUGCGAUAAGCGUCGGUAAGGUGAUAUGAACCGUUAUAACCGGCGAUUUCCGAAUGGGGAAACCCAGUGUGAUUCGUCACACUAUCAUUAACUGAAUCCAUAGGUUAAUGAGGCGAACCGGGGGAACUGAAACAUCUAAGUACCCCGAGGAAAAGAAAUCAACCGAGAUUCCCCCAGUAGCGGCGAGCGAACGGGGAGCAGCCCAGAGCCUGAAUCAGUGUGUGUGUUAGUGGAAGCGUCUGGAAAGGCGCGCGAUACAGGGUGACAGCCCCGUACACAAAAAUGCACAUGCUGUGAGCUCGAUGAGUAGGGCGGGACACGUGGUAUCCUGUCUGAAUAUGGGGGGACCAUCCUCCAAGGCUAAAUACUCCUGACUGACCGAUAGUGAACCAGUACCGUGAGGGAAAGGCGAAAAGAAC
rnacentral:rRNA from 1 species